GGCCAAAUGUUCCUGACCUGUUCAAGCCAUUGAAAAAUAAAGAAGAAGAAAAUGUAUAUGAUCUGUGGUUGCACAUAGUUAGGAACAGAAGUAUUGAAAAGAAGAAGAACAAUACUUUGAUUCUGUGGUUACGAAUCUAUGGCCUAAAAUUCGAAAAAGAAGAAGAACGCUAGUGGCGCCAUUGUGUCAAAAGUGAGGAGAUUUUGAACUAAAAACUAAAAUGGUUGCCAGUAUGUUUGUAUUUUUGUGAAGAUCUAAAUUAAAUCUUAUUUUUGCGCAGCAUUGGUUAUACAGCAAAAAAAACAUCAUGACAGGACGACCUUUUCCGUUGUUGGAAGAUCCUUUACAAUUUUUGUGAUUUUUUGGUAGAAAAAGUGGUUCUUUUAUACAGUAUUUGAGCUUAUUCUGUUCCGUAAGCCUGCUUAAACUCAUGAAAAUGAGUAUUAUUAAUAAUACACACUCAGCAUGUACAGGCCACCUAAAAGACAAGACCUGAAUCACCUCUGUUGUUUGUCUAUCAUUCUGGUUUACGAAAUUGGUUUUUCAUUACUCAAUUAAAAAGAUUGUGCAGUAACGCAAUGGAUGUAUACAGUUCCAGGGCAGUACAUUUAUCCUUUCAAUUGAUAUUAUGAACAAUACAUCAGGACAUAUAAGUAAAUCUAAAAAUUUUAUUUCUUUUGUGUAAAUAUAUUUUUAUUUGUUUGCUAUUGAUGUUCAUUAGUAGAUUUUAUGAUUUUUAAAUUUAAGUAAGGAAAAAUUUCCAAUGGGUGCUAUUUUUAUGUUUCCUUAUUAUCAUAGAUAAAUUCAGAGCAGUGAUUUUUAAUUUAAGCCUAUUUAUGGCUUUUUAUUUUUGAUACAAUACCAUCUACUUAGAACUUUAUGUGGUUUUUGGUUUAAUUUCAUUUCUUUAUAAUUGCUUGACUUUUAUAUAUUGUUGAUUGUGGAAAUAAUGUCAUCAUUUAUCAAUUCCAUACAUUAUUCCCUUGAUUGUAUUUCUGUAGGUCUUAUUUGUUUGGUAAAACAUACCAUUAGUUAGAAUUUAUUUCGUUUUCCUAUUAACAGCUUGACUCCCAUAUUUUCUUCAUUAUUGGAAUAAUACCAUCAUUUAUUGAUUCUAUAAAAUAUUUCACUGGCUCUAUUUCUAUAAGUAUUCUUUUAUUUGUAUUAGUUUUCUUAUGGUAUCAUUCUUGUACAGAAUUUAUGUUUUGAUGGAUUCAUUUUCAUGUCAUUUUUUUCAGAUCAUAUGCCAUGAAUUGCCAUAAUUUUGCGGAUUCUCUUGGUUUGGUUUCUCUGUGUUUAAAUAUAAUUUAAAUACACAGUAACACACUUAAAAAUCUCAGAAUAAGGACUAAUUUUCAUCUAAUUUCCUACUAAUUCCUGGCGCAUUCGCCAUUUAUUCAAAAAAACUGUCUCGUCCACAUAAGUCACUUCUAGUUUUUCUAGCAUUUUUUUCCAAUAAAUAUGCCCGAAUAACAUCGACUCCAGAGCAUCAUAACUAGCCUCCCCGAAGAGGAGGAGACCCGGGUCACCCCCUAACCCUGAUGUUCGGCCAUCGAUGACCUGUGUAGCAUGCAGAGGUACCCAAGGGAGUCACCACCCUCUGGUUUACGAGCUAGGUGUUCUAACGCUAGAGGCUUCGGCCGGAUACGACCUGGCACCCAAGCUACGAGACUUCUUCGUGCACGUAUCCCGUGACGUCUCGACAGUAGAGGGGGCGGGAUAUCGGACACAUUGAAGACGAUGAGGGGGGUCCGCCUGUAGGGGGUCCCGGUGGAUGUCCGCUCGAUGGGUGAUGAGGGUGACCCGAGACGGGGCUGCUUAGCUGGGAUGGGAACUGACUGGCGAGGCUAAAUCGUCGGACAAGGGUUAAAUCUGAUGGAGGGGGGCGAACUUAUAUGCUCUGGAGGAUUUUUCUUAUGUGCUUAAUGUCAUAUUUUUACUAGAUAUUCUUUAGAGGAGGCUAAGCAUAAUAUUUGAUUAAUUUUCCAGUUCUUUCCAAGACCGCAUACUUCUUUAUUUUUUUUUCUUGCUUAUGGCCUACCUCAUAUACAUUAUUUUUGUAUUCUAUAUUUUCUUUAUUAUUGGAAUAUUACCAUUCAUCAAUUCUAUAAGCUCUUCUAAUGACUGGCUUAUAUAUUUUUAUUGUGACUUUCUUCCGAUACUUUUUUAAUGCAUAAAAAAAUAAUUUUGUUGCCUGUAUGGAAUUAUUGCUUUCUUAUCCAUUGUCAUCUUAUUUUUCCCGAGAUUUUCCCUCAUUUUCAUUCCAUUUUAUCCAAUGCAUAAUAUCUCUCUUAAUGUUCCCCAUAUUUUCUUCAUUGUGCGAAUGCAAUCAUUCAUCAAUUCUAUAAACUCUUCCAUUGAUUGUAUUUCUAGGUCAUUUUAUUUGUAUAUACUUUUGUAUUUUUUUUGUCAUUCUUCUGAGACUUUUCUAAGUUCAUUCACACAUAUUUAUGGAACUUUUUUAAUUCCAUAUACUUAUCUCUGUUUCUUUAUUUGUCUCACAUAUUUUCAUUCCGUGAAAUCUUCUAUUAAUUUAUGUAUUUCUGGGUUAUCAGCCAUUAUUUAAUUAAAAAAAAAAUCUGUAUCUCUAGAGUUCUCUAAGGUAUUUUAUUUCUAUUGACUAUAUCAAGUUGUAGUUUUGGAAUCAUUUUCAUGACUUUUUUCAAUUCAUCAUUCCAUACAGAGGAAAACCCUGACUAAAUUUUAUUUUUCUUAAAUAUAAUUUAUUAUUUUUCUCUUACAUUGAUUGUAUUUCGAAGUCUUCUCUUUUAUUUGUAUUAUUAUUUAUUUUAUUGCCAUUUUUCUAAGACUUCAAGUCUUUUUAUUGCCUAUAUAGAACUGUAUAAUUUUGGAUACAUUUUCUAAUUGGUUUUCUUUUCGUUCCUUUUCUAAUUUCCUUUAAAAUUAAGUUUUUGAAUGGGAUAUUGUAUUGCUUUGGGACAGCUGCACUUCAACUCAACCACCCUCUUCAAAAUGCCAGUAGCUGCAUUAAAUUCAACAUUGAACAGUGGAUUCAGAAUAAAAUUCAUCAUUGAAGAGGAACUAAAUAAAUAAUUUGAGAUCAUCAAAUUUUUGGAAAUCAUUCUGUAAUAACUGCAGCUGGUACUGGUACUUCUAUUUUCCCUGCAUUGGACACUUCACCAAGACACAUCUGGAAGAAGACUUUUUGAAGAAGAAAUUGGUCUUUAUUUGUUUUGAAAAUUGUAAAAGGAAAAUUUUGAGACAUUGAAUUCUGUAAUUUAUGCAUAAACUUUUUUUUAAUCAUCAAGAAUAUAUUUUAGUAAAUUCCAGUUGUAUAAAAACACAGAAUUCAAGACCAUCAAAAUUUUAAUUUUAUUUUUAAACAGUUUCUUGGAACUUUAAACUUUACAAUCAAAAAAUUUUCUGAUCAAGUAGGCUUUGAGCAUUGAUAUAUAAUAAUUUUCUAUGAGGAAUUACAUUAAAAUUAAUAUAAUUUUUUAUUCUCCAAAGAAUGUUACGUUAUAUUCAAUAAUUAGAGUACUAUUUAUAAUUAUUUUGGUUAUGGAUAAGAUAUUUAUUGAAUAUUUUGUUUUAGUUAAGUUGUAAUACAAUAUGAUCGAAAAAAAACCGGCGUCAGCGAAGGCAAUGAAAUGAAGAUCUCGUACAUUUUAUAUGGGGAUAUGUAAAAUUAUAUGGGGAAUAUCAUCAUGUUCAUUUCCAAGCCAACUGGACGCCGUUUUUUUCCAUCAUACGGUAUAUGAUAAUAUAAAGACUACCAAGUGUAUAAAUGAGUCCGAAAAUAAAAAUAUACAGUGUGAUCAACACUAGGGAUGGAUGAUUAGAAUCAUAAAGUAAAAAACUGUUUUUUACAUGUAACAGACAAUUUUUUACACAAGGUUAUUUUUGUUAGUACAAAAUCCCUAGUUUUAUACAAGGUAUAUUAAGAUCGCUGUCAUUUUAUAUGUAAAUUUAUAUUGGAAAUUUUAUAAACCGUUACUUCAAAGCCUACCGGAUGCCAUUUUUUUUUCGAUCAUACGGUAUAAUUGAUUUAUGUUUAGGCAUUUUAUUGUUAAUAUAUUUUCUAUUUUGUUCAGGAAUCUAUGUACAUACCAUA
rnacentral:lncRNA from 1 species